UAACGUAACCAUUACGUAUGGGCUUGGCUGCUGCUAUUUCACAGUGUGUUUUCAGUUCACUGAAGUUAACUGUAACAUUGUGGUCGCCUAAAAACAGCCUGGCGUUUGGUUCUAAUAAAAGACCCAUCAAUGAGUCGGAUGAUCAGUUUUUCCGACUAUUCCUGAUUUGCUGACCUGCAGUUCAGAUUCGGCCCCGGAGGAGGAAAGAAGAGUAAAGGCCUUUGAAGUGAAACGGAUCCCCAUCAGCUGCAGCUCUCUAACAAAGUAGCAGCUCAAAGCUCUGAGAUGGAAAGAGAUGGCAGGAAGGACUAGCUACAUGCUGACUUGCUACAUGGCAAGGUUGCCUUUCUCGUGUAGCUGCUGACUUCAAGAUUGGAAUUUGAAACAACCAAAUCUCACUUGCCAUACAGAGAUGUUCAGUGGGACUGAGGGAAAAGCAAAACAUGUAUUUUUGAUGAUGUGUACAACCAAAAAUACCCCCUGCACUAAGAAAUCUGACAACGUUGUUCUGUCAGAAACAUCCCAUCUCUUUUUCCAGAGCACCAGCCACAGUCAAUCCCCCUCCAAUACCUGGAAUAUUACUACAGAUGUGCAUCUCAGUGGGUGGAAUAGUCAGAUCAGAUGACAUCUGAUGUCAUCCACAGCCAAAAAUAAACUGAGCAUUACUCUUACUGGAAGAAAAGUGAUCAGUUGCAAAAUAAAGAGAUGUUGUCACCUGCCAUGUCACAGAUGUAAGUUUAUCCUAUUUUCAUUUCUUGACUUAAUGUGAAAAUGGGGAAAAAUCAGCAGACUGUAUAGAAUAAUUACUGGGAUACAAUGACAUAAUGAUAACAAACAACAUUCUUUGUCUACAAGAUUGUUUGUGUCUGGUUUAUAAUCUAACUGCAAGGAAAUCAGUGAAACAAUACCUUCUUGUUUCCUGGAAGCGAAUCAAGAUUUUUGUCUGAGUGAAAUCAAAUGUCCAUCAAACACUGAUUGUGGCACAGCUGUCCUAGCAAUGUUAACAAUGCAUCUACACUUGUGUAUACUGUUGUAUAACUACAAUCAAGGCAUAGAAUUGGUCCUUCAGAACCCAAAUUUGAAGCACAACGAGAGAUUAAAAAGUGAAAAAACUAGAUCAGAGCUUCUCAGUGUUUGAUCAUGAAAAGACUUUGCUACAAUGAGAAUUUGAAUUAGGAGAAAAGGCUUUUGAAGACAAAUCACAUAAUGAAACAACAAAAAAACAGAUAAACAGCCACACACACUCACUCCCCCCUACAUACACACACACAGCCAGAACUGCAGACACUUUAGCAAGUAUGUUGCUGAUUGAGGCUGAUUGAGCGUGAGUGAGUGCACUGGCAGGAGGCCAACUGUUUUGGGGAAAUUACCGAGAUGAGCGGCACAUCGCUUGUCAGCUUUUCUGGGAUGAGAUGCCCUAUAACACACACACACACACGCGCACACACGCACAAGCAGUACUUCUUCUGUGACAGUAGGGAGGAGAUAGGGGAGACAACAGAUAAAAGCCUGAUUUGUGGUGCAUUUCAAAGUGAACAAUUCCUCAUUUUUCAUCAGACAUUUCAUACUUUGGCUCUCAUCUUCUGUCUGAGAGAUAAAUGGCAGACUUGGUGAAUUAGAUUCAAAGUGCAAAAUGAACAAUUGAUUUGACAAUAAUGGACUAAAAAUAAGACUUUCCAAAUGCAUUUUAGACUUAAAAUAAUUUGAGUGCUUGUGCUUGAUGUGACAUUUAAUAAUUUUUGCCCCCAUUGAUGUUCUCAGGGUGUAAGAGAAGAUAAACCAAGCACACUUAAAGUACAUAUACAUAUUUACAUAUUUGAAUCUGUUUGGUUUACUCAUAGUGAGUGAUGCUUUUCUCUGCUGUCAUUCUUUUAAAUUUUUGAAUGUGAGUUAAAAUUGCAACACAAAGGGGCUGUUUUAAUCAAAUAGCAGCAUAUUCAAAGACAUCUCCCUUUUUCCUCUGGUCUGAGUCUCUUUCUGACGUCUCUUCCGUCCUCUCUUUCUUGAUGGGAGAUAGAAAAAAGAGAAAAUGAAAGAAACCACCUCCUCCUCAACAGUGGGAGUGAGUGGCGUCCUCUGGGGGGACUGAGCAAGAUGACUCGGUGGUUGUGGAAGCUUCCUGGCAUCUGUUCAGUGUUCCAGACCGACAGCUAAUUCUGUUUCAGGAGGUAUAAACAGUUCUGUUCUGCAUCCUUAUCGCAAACACAGACCCAGGACGUCAUCGUUGUAUAACACUUUGGAUGCAACAGACAAAGAAAAGGGAACAGAGAGGGGGGAGAGAGAGAGAGGGUGUGUAGGAUGUGUGGGGAGAGUAGAGCACAGUGAUACAUCGCUGAUGAAUAUUUUAAAGGGAAGAAGAAAAAUGAAGACACUUUUUGCUUUGGAUCUGCUGUAGUUGGAGGAUCUUAAGGAAAACAGGACACUAGGACACAUUUUUAUUCCCAAGGAGGAACAGAGUUUAGAGUGUUUUACCUCACGUUUCAAAAGAAAGUUGCACUUUUAUUUCUGUGGUUAAGCUUAUGCACUUAAGCCACUGUGAAAAUGCAUAUCUCUUCAGAAUUAUCACACUCUGUUUUACACUUUUGACCCUACGCUUAAUGACAUUAAAAAGGCUUUGUGACUAUUUAUUUAAUGAACAACCUCACCAAGGUCUCAUCUGCUUCCAAGCAAACCGAGCAUUACCAACCACAGGAUUAUAUGAAACAGAUAUGUAACACCUGUAAGAAUUCAAUGGCUAAUGUACAGUAGACAAUAUAUCUUCUGGUCCAUUUCCCCUUCAUGUGGUGGUACAUGACAUGUCUCUGUUUCUAAUCUCUCUUUGUUUUUUAUGACAAAUAAAGUUGCAGUCUCUAUACCAA